GAGGAAGCACUUUUGGAAGCGGGCAUGAAGCCAGAGUUGUCGCCGCAGAUCAGGUGGUAAAAGAGAACGGAGAUUGGCGGCCAUAUUUGAAGUGGGUAAAAAUCUGUAAAGCCACGUUACCAUGAGCACGCAGAGAGCCUUUUCUGGAGAUUGAAAGGGAGUUGAAGAGCUGGGUUAGUUAUCAUCGUAAACUAUCAUCGUUAGUGAUGGCGUAAACCUGGGUAAUAUUGUAAUCGCAGGUCCAAUGAAAUUUGAGAGUAGUCUACAGUCUGACAGAAAUUAAGAGAAGGCAGCUUCUGGGAAAUAUUUUCCUCCCGGAUAAAAAGACGAAGCUUCCAGAGGAGACUUCACCUUUCCAUUUUUUCUUCUGGGGAAGCCAGCUGCUGUGUUAGAAGUUUGACUUCUCAGACUUACUGCCUGUGAAAAGCCCAACCAACCACGUGAAGAAGAACUGAGGUUUGGGCCAACAGCCUCAGUUGAACCCCCAGCCAGCAGUCAACACCAACUUUUGCCAGUCACGUGAAGAAGGCCAUUUAAAAAGUGGAUUCUCCAGCCCACUGGAGCCACCUCAGGUGACUGCGUGUGGAACAAAGAAAGGCUAUUUGAGCCCACAUUGCAAAAUUACAAGCAAAUAAAUAAAAUUACUGUAGUUUUAAGCCACUAAGUUGUUCAAUAAUAGAUAGCUAAAAUGUACAGGCAAACUUGGAAGAUACUGUGGGUUGGGUUCCAGACCACUACAAUAAAGCCAAUAUCAUAAUAAA